rnacentral:rRNA from 1 species
GAUGAACGCUAGCGGCAGGCUUAAUACAUGCAAGUCGAGGGGCAGCAGUUUUGUAGCAAUACAGAAGCUGGCGACCGGCAAACGGGUGCGGAACACGUACGCAACCUUCCUUUAACUGGAAGAUAGCCCACCGAAAGGUGGAUUAAUACUCCAUAACAUAUUGAAGAGGCAUCUCUUUGAUAUUAAAGCUCCGGCGGUUAAAGAUGGGCGUGCGUCUGAUUAGGUAGUUGGCGGGGUAACGGCCCACCAAGCCUUCGAUCAGUAGCUGAUGUGAGAGCAUGAUCAGCCACACGGGCACUGAGACACGGGCCCGACUCCUACGGGAGGCAGCAGUAAGGAAUAUUGGUCAAUGGACGCAAGUCUGAACCAGCCAUGCCGCGUGGAGGAUGAAGGCCCUCUGGGUUGUAAACUUCUUUUCUUUGGGACGAAACCCCUGUUUCUACGGGGACUGACGGUACCAGAGGAAUAAGCACCGGCUAACUCCGUGCCAGCAGCCGCGGUAAGAC